rnacentral:rRNA from 1 species
UACGUAGGGGACGAGCGUUGUCCGGAAUUACUGGGCGUAAAGGGCGCGCAGGCGGUAUAUCAAGUCAGCUGUCAAAGACUGGGGCUCAACCCUGGUAUGCGGUUGAAACUGAUAUGCUGGAGUGCUGUAGAGGCAAGUGGAAUUCCCAGUGUAGCGGUGAAAUGCGUAGAUAUUGGGAAGAACACCGGUGGCGAAGGCGACUUGCUGGGCAGCAACUGACGCUGAGGCGCGAAAGCCAGGGGAGCAAACGGGAUUAGAUACCCCGGUA